UACGUAGGGUGCGAGCGUUUGUCCGGAAUUACUGGGCGUAAAGAGCUUGUAGGCGGUCUGUCGCGUCUGCUGUGAAAAUCCGGGGCUCAACCCCGGACUUGCAGUGGGUACGGGCAGACUAGAGUGUGGUAGGGGAGACUGGAAUUCCUGGUGUAGCGGUGAAAUGCGCAGAUAUCAAGGAAGAACACCCGUGGCGGAAAGCGGGCU
rnacentral:rRNA from 1 species